GGGACCUGUUGGUGCUGGUCAUCCAGACAGGAGGUGGGUGUCUAAGCAGAAUAACCACAAUGCAGGAGAAAAGACAGAGCAGCAAAAAAGCCGGGAAAAGACGAUCACACGGCUGUGCCUGAGAAGUCGGAGGCUAACUUAAUUAAGGAAGUGGCAUCUGGAGGCUGAGUGAUUUCUCUAUCAGAUUUGGAUGUACCCGCAGACCAGGAGCAAGAUGAAUGAACCAGUCAAAAGCCUUAUUAUAGUUGUUUUUUAUGCUGCCAGAAAAUCGAAAAGUAAUAACAAGAUUCCAGAUGACAGAGUUGCCAAAAGAUCCUGAGAAUCUGUAGUUCUCUCUCUUGGUCAUUACUGUUGGGAAACGAUGGAAUGGCACCAAGGAAUGUGUGAAAAGAAUUAGGAAAAGAAGGUUUUCAU
rnacentral:lncRNA from 1 species